AGUCAGAAGAUGUACUAAAAGAUGUCGAGCUGAAGAAACUGAGUCUGAUAGAGGAUACCACAAUUGAAAGGGAAGCCAUUGUGCAAGACUUGGAAAAGAGAUGGAAGACAACUAGUUAUGUGAUACUUUGCUGACCACCACCUUCAGCUGAGGACUCUGAGCAGAGUCUGUAUGA